rnacentral:rRNA from 1 species
AACGCGAAGAACCUUACCUGGUCUUGACAUCCACGGAAGUUUUCAGAGAUGAGAAUGUGCCUUCGGGAACCGUGAGACAGGUGCUGCAUGGCUGUCGUCAGCUCGUGUUGUGAAAUGUUGGGUUAAGUCCCGCAACGAGCGCAACCCUUAUCCUUUGUUGCCAGCAGUCCGGCCGGGAACUCAAAGGAGACUGCCAGUGAUAAACUGGAGGAAGGUGGGGAUGACGUCAAGUCAUCAUGGCCCUUACGACCAGGGCUACACACGUGCUACAAUGGCGCAUACAAAGAGAAGCGACCUCGCGAGAGCAAGCGGACCUCAUAAAGUGCGUCGUAGUCCGGAUUGGAGUCUGCAACUCGACUCCAUGAAGUCGGAAUCGCUAGUAAUCGUGGAUCAGAAUGCCACGGUGAAUACGUUCCCGGGCCUUGUACACACCG